CUGCAAGUCGAACGGAAAGGCCCCUUCGGGGGUACUCGAGUGGCGAACGGGUGAGUAACACGUGGGCAAUCUGCCCUGCACUUCGGGAUAAGCCUGGGAAACUGGGUCUAAUACCGGAUAGGACCUUUAGGCGCAUGUCUUUAGGUGGAAAGCUUUUGCGGUGUGGGAUGGGCCCGCGGCCUAUCAGCUUGUUGGUGGGGUGAUGGCCUACCAAGGCGACGACGGGUAGCCGGCCUGAGAGGGUGUCCGGCCACACUGGGACUGAGAUACGGCCCAGACUCCUACGGGAGGCAGCAGUGGGGAAUAUUGCACAAUGGGCGCAAGCCUGAUGCAGCGACGCCGCGUGGGGGAUGACGGCCUUCGGGUUGUAAACCUCUUUCACCAUCGACGAAGGUCCGGGUUUUCUCGGAUUGACGGUAGGUGGAGAAGAAGCACCGGCCAACUACGUGCCAGCAGCCGCGGUAAUACGUAGGGUGCGAGCGUUGUCCGGAAUUACUGGGCGUAAAGAGCUCGUAGGUGGUUUGUCGCGUUGUUCGUGAAAUCUCACGGCUUAACUGUGAGCGUGCGGGCGAUACGGGCAGACUAGAGUACUGCAGGGGAGACUGGAAUUCCUGGUGUAGCGGUGGAAUGCGCAGAUAUCAGGAGGAACACCGGUGGCGAAGGCGGGUCUCUGGGCAGUAACUGACGCUGAGGAGCGAAAGCGUGGGGAGCGAACAGGAUUAGAUACCCUGGUAGUCCACGCCGUAAACGGUGGGUACUAGGUGUGGGUUUCCUUCCUUGGGAUCCGUGCCGUAGCUAACGCAUUAAGUACCCCGCCUGGGGAGUACGGCCGCAAGGCUAAAACUCAAAGGAAUUGACGGGGGCCCGCACAAGCGGCGGAGCAUGUGGAUUAAUUCGAUGCAACGCGAAGAACCUUACCUGGGUUUGACAUGCACAGGACGCGUCUAGAGAUAGGCGUUCCCUUGUGGCCUGUGUGCAGGUGGUGCAUGGCUGUCGUCAGCUCGUGUCGUGAGAUGUUGGGUUAAGUCCCGCAACGAGCGCAACCCUUGUCUCAUGUUGCCAGCGGGUAAUGCCGGGGACUCGUGAGAGACUGCCGGGGUCAACUCGGAGGAAGGUGGGGAUGACGUCAAGUCAUCAUGCCCCUUAUGUCCAGGGCUUCACACAUGCUACAAUGGCCGGUACAAAGGGCUGCGAUGCCGCAAGGUUAAGCGAAUCCUUUUAAAGCCGGUCUCAGUUCGGAUUGGGGUCUGCAACUCGACCCCAUGAAGUCGGAGUCGCUAGUAAUCGCAGAUCAGCAACGCUGCGGUGAAUACGUUCCCGGGCCUUGUACACACCGCCCGUCACGUCAUGAAAGUCGGUAACACCCGAAGCCAGUGGCCUAACCC
rnacentral:rRNA from 1 species